rnacentral:rRNA from 1 species
UACGGGGGGGGUAAGCGUUGUUCGGAAUUACUGGGCGUAAAGGGCGCGUAGGCGGCCACCGCAAGUCAGUUGUGAAAUCUCCGAGCUUAACUCGGAAAGGUCAACUGAUACUGCGGGGCUAGAGUGCGGAAGGGGCAACUGGAAUUCUUGGUGUAGCGGUGAAAUGCGCAGAUAUCAGGAGGAACACCGGUGGCGAAGGCGGGUCUCUGGGUCGUACCUGACGCUGAGGCGCGAAAGCGUGGGGAGCGAACGGG